rnacentral:misc_RNA from 1 species
CCCCUUCUUCUUCUUCUUCCC